GGCUGUUCUGACCCGGGGGGAACAGCUCACCCAAGAGGGUGACGGAUGAAGACGUGCAGAAAUAGCCAUAAGCACCCUUUGCCCCCCGCCGCAACCUUUCCAUCCCUACCACUGCUCCUGUGCUUGAAUUCCUUCAGCGAGCCAGUGAAAUCCAGCAAAUAAGUGUCAAUAAGGGGGAAGUGCCAGCGGCAGGUGGAGUUUUACUGCUGGUCUGUUUGGACUAUUUUAAGUUCAGCGUAACAGAACUUCCCUGCACUCUGAGAGAGCACCAUUCGCAACAAAAAGGGCUGCAAAGACUUCAUCAGUGUUCAACGAGGAAAUAUGCAGAGCUUGAAGCUGAACAUGAAUGGACAUCACAGUGAAAGGGAGGCCUUCAUCACCAUUCUGCUCUUCAGAGUCUGGCAUGGUGUUUUAAUGGCUGGGGAAAUUUUUUAACUCAAUGAAAAUACUUUGUCUUUAUUGGAAUUAAACCAUGGUUACAAGAAAGCUUCAA